AGCUUGCGGCCGUACGCUUCCGAGCUCCACGCGUCUCAGGCUCUCAGCUCGCCCGACCGACCUCGUCGCCGGCGAUGGCUUCCGCGGUGGCCGCUUCGACCGCCACGCGGUUCCUCCCGCAGCUUGGGGCCCCGCGGCUGCGUCCCGCACGCGUGGCGCUCCUUCCGUCGCCGCUCCCAUGGCGGCCUCUCGCGGUCACGGUGGCCGCCGCGUCGCGGCGUCCUCGGGAUGGGGAAGGCGGGGGGCGGGGGAGAACGCGGAGGCGGCGCGCCAGGGGUGCGGAGCAGGAGGAAGGCGUCUCACUCAGCUCCGAAAAGGACACAGUAAAUUCUACUCCAGGUGCUCAAACCAGCAAGGACACGGAGCUUGUACCAGAGUCCAGCAUGACCGGGAAAGGUUCGGCCAUUAGAAGGGUCACACUGGUGAUUCUUGCUGCAGUGCUUUUUGGAAUUAGCAUUGCUUUGAGGGAUGGAGCUGAAAAGGCAUCGGAGUAUUUUGCUGGGUAUUUAUUGGAACAGAGUUUGUCGGUGGACAAUCUCUUUGUUUUUGUUCUGGUUUUUAAGUAUUUCAAAGUGCCAAAGGAAUACCAGAACCGAGUACUUUCUUAUGGUAUUGCUGGAGCAGUUGUCUUUCGGGUUGUGAUGAUCAUCCUUGGAGUAGCUACCAUUCAGAAAUUUGAGGCGGUGAACCUGCUGUUGGCUUUGAUCCUACUAUUCACUUCUUACAAGCUAUUUGCUGGAGAAGAAGAAGAAUCUGAUCUAUCCGAUAACUUCAUUGUGAAAACAUGCCAAAAGUUCAUUCCAGUCACUGAUUAUUAUGAUGAUGACCGGUUUUUCACUAGUCAAGAUGGCUUAUGGAAAGCCACACCAUUACUCUUGACUUUGGCAGUGAUUGAGCUGAGUGAUAUUGCUUUCGCUAUUGACUCAAUACCAGCAGUCUUCGGCGUCACAAGGGAUCCACUUAUAAUACUAUCAUCAAAUAUUUUUGCCAUUUCUGGUUUGCGGUCACUGUAUGUUCUCAUUUCUGAAAGCAUGGCCGAAUUGGAGUAUCUACAGCCUGCUAUUGGUAUCGUUUUGGGCUUCAUAGGGACAAAGAUGAUCUUUGACUUUUUUGGUUAUCAUAUUCCAACAGAAGGUUCGCUUGCUAUUGUUACCACCUGUCUUAGCGGAGGUGUCAUAUUAAGUCUUAGGAAAGUAUCAAAAGAGGAGGGGGACAAGUAGACAAAUGCAACGACCCGCGCAGGUAAAAGGAAUGGAUCAGCUUGUUGCAUUUUCUGACCGAUAGUCAAGCUAUGAAAGAAAGGUAACGAACACUUAGAAGCCAGGUAAAAACAUGCCCUUUUUCACAAAACUAACUACUUGUAUUAAAAAUCUAACCAGACAGAAUAUCUUGUAACCCAAAUAUGUAGUCUCAACUAAAUGCUUUGUGCCUUUGUUCAUUUAAAUAGCUUAAAUAGCCUCUUUAUUUUCUAAAUUGGAGGUAAAGUUAAGGGCCACCAAUAAUGAGGAAAUAUACUGAUUGCCAAGGCUGCCACAGGAUUGGGCUCUCAAGGGGCUCCCAUUUGUUUAAUAGGAUCUGACCAUGAAACCAUCCAGUUCCACAGGUUAGCUACACAAGUCAUAUUGCCUGUAAUGCCUCCACAAGGUUUGCCCCAUUGAUCUGGUCAGAUGCUAUUGGUAACAGGCUUACCUAAAGAGUGUACUUUUAUGAUAACCUCGCCAAGCUUUGUGCAGCUCUGCGAAAGCUUAAGUGCAGUUUUGUGUUAGUUUGCGCUCAUACAUCAUGUUGUUCUGGAAUUUUGAGCUUGACAAAAGUAAGGAGGCUUCUCAAGGUGGUUCAGCUUGAGCUCGUGUUAGGGUUGAAUAUCAUUGCUUUUUAUCGAAUUCUAACCAUCAUCAUGCUGAAACCCCUGCAUCACCUCAUGUAAAGCAUCAGACUGCAAAUACCCAUAACAUUUUUUUUGUUUAUCACAAAUUCCGGAUGUAGAUUCUAUACUGUCCUUUAAACAUCACCAUUCUGAUUGCAGUGACCAAGAAUCAUGUCAAGUAUCAAUCAUGUUUGAAACUGACGAGGACUUAGUGUACUUCAUUCACUGUUCAUGUUUCGAAGUAGGAGGCCUUGAAGACAUUUGCAAUUCACGUAACACCCUUGUUGCAGUAGUGAUAGCCUCCACUACCUAACUGACUUGGAAGUUGGAAGCAGUUCAGCGGACGGCUGUAUGUUACCUCAGUAUAAAAUGACAGAUGCAAUCAGGACAUGAUAUUGGUGUCUGAUCCUGAUCUGGAAGUUCCAUGACCUUGGUUCUGAACCAAAAGGUUUUGGGUGGUGGCCAAUCAAAGACUGCAGGGUGAAAACAUAGGAAUCCUGUCCUUGUAGUGUCUGUUGCUUGUUAAGCUAGCACAUAGAGUACAUUCUGAACAUGAUGGGCAAUGCCUACAAUUUACAGUGUUGUAAACAAUAGUAUGCUCCAGCUAUACAUUACUACAAUAUGAAAUUUUAUCAGUAUAUUUCAUCCUUGUAGUUAAUGCUUC